rfam:Ictidomys tridecemlineatus contig030954, whole genome shotgun sequence.
GGGGCUGGGGCUCAGUGGUAGAGCAUGUGUGAGGCCCUGGGUUCGAUUCUCAGCACCACCU